UUUUAACUGAAGAGGUGCUUGUUCACUAUACUAUUUAAACUGCUGUAUUUGUGAAAUAAGUUUAUUUACAGAUACUGAUGAUCAUUGAACUCUGAAAUAAUGACGGCAAAGCUGUUUACUGUACUUGUUCUAGUCUGUGUGUUCUGGUUGGAGAAUGCUAAUGCUUGGUGGGGCAGAGAUAACAGUUACGUUGUUAAUAGAACAGAUCAUUCUAUAGAUGUAGCGUUAGGUCAUGGUCGUCAUACAACUAGACGAACAAUCGGGCCUGGAUCAUAUACCAAAAUCGAAUAUGCAAAAGUACGGCAAAUUACUUUAUGCGUAGGUUCUGUUUGUCGUCAUGCGGGUUCCGACACAAGCUUUAUCGUCGAUGAGUAUAGGGGAAGUUUAAAGAUUUUCAGAUCUGUCUAUGGAGAUAUUCAUUCAAUAGAUUAGGGUAAAAAAUGAACAAUGCUGAUUUGAAAAUCUAUAUUAUCUGUUUUUAGAAAUACCCACUUGUGGUAUAUUAAUUAGUCAGUGUGUUAUCAAUGUUAUAAUAUUAAAUAU